GACGUAGGGUGCAAGCGUUGUCCGGAUUUACUGGGCGUAAAGGGCGCGUAGGCGGCUCGUUAAGUGUGAAGUGAAAUCCCUAGGGCUCAACCCAGGAACUGCUUUACAUACUGGCGGGCUUGAGGAUCGAAGAGGCUUGUGGAAUUCCUGGUGUAGCGGUGAAAUGCGUUGAUAUCGGGAGGAACACCAGUGGCGAAGGCGAUCACCUGGGGUUGUUCUGACGCUGAGGCGCGAAAGCGUGGGGAGCAAACGGG
rnacentral:rRNA from 1 species